rnacentral:rRNA from 1 species
UACGAAGGGGGCUAGCGUUGCUCGGAAUCACUGGGCGUAAAGCGCACGUAGGCGGAUUGCUAAGUCAGGGGUGAAAUCCUGGAGCUCAACUCCAGAACUGCCUUUGAUACUGGCAACCUUGAGUCCGGGAGAGGUGAGUGGAAUUCCUAGUGCAGAGGUGAAAUUCGUAGAUAUUCGCAAGAACACCAGUGGCGAAGGCGGCUUACUGGACCGGUUCUGACGCUGAGGCGCGAAAGCGUGGGAAGCAAACAGG